rnacentral:rRNA from 1 species
AUUGAACGCUGGCGGCAGGCUUAACACAUGCAAGUCGAGCGGGGGAAGGUAGCUUGCUACCGGACCUAGCGGCGGACGGGUGAGUAAUGCUUAGGAAUCUGCCUAUUAGUGGGGGACAACAUCUCGAAAGGGAUGCUAAUACCGCACACGUCCUAUGGGAGAAAGCAGGGGAUCUUCGGACCUUGCGCUAAUAGAUGAGCCUAAGUCGGAUUAGCUAGUUGGUGGGGUAAAGGCCUACCAAGGCGACGAUCUGUAGCGGGUCUGAGAGGAUGAUCCGCCACACUGGGACUGAGACACGGCCCAGACGCCUACGGGAGGCAGCAGUGGGGAAUAUUGGACAAUGGGGGGAACCCUGAUCCAGCCAUGCCGCGUGUGUGAAGAAGGCCUUAUGGUUGUAAAGCACUUUAAGCGAGGAGGAGGCUACUUUAGUUAAUACCUAGAGAUAGUGGACGUUACUCGCAGAAUAAGCACCGGCUAACUCCGUGCCAGCAGCCGCGGUAA